rnacentral:sRNA from 1 species
AAAAAAAAAAAAAAACAAAACAGAGAAGUCAAAUGGUUUUUUGGAAUAUGGUGGCCCUCCGUACCCAUCGGUUCCACAUGUGUGGUUUCAGCCAACUAUGUAUUGAAAAUAAAAUUGCAUCCUUACAAAUAUGCAGACUUUUUUUCCUUGUCAUUGUUCCCUUAACAAUACAGUGUAACAGCUAUUUACGUAGCAUUUACAUUGUAUUAGGUACUAUGAGUCAUCCUGGAGUUGCCGUAAAACUUAAACGUAAAACUUGAAAUGAGGAUGAUUUAAAGUAUAGAGGAGGAUGUGCAUAGGUUAUAUGCAAAUACUCUCCCAUUUUAUAUUAGGGACUUGAGCAUCCACGGAUUUUGGUAUCCGUGGGGGUCCUGGACCCAACCUGCCACGGAUACGCAGGGACGACUGUAUUUGGCAUAGAGGCCUUUCUAAUGCACUUACCAAGGACAGCUGCAGCAGGCUGUGAUCCCUGAGACGAGCGUGAGUUUAGUGAGGGCAGAGUUUUUGUUCUGGUUCUCAGCUGUGUCCCAGCACCUGGGAUUGUCCCUGGCACACAGUAGAUGCUUAGAAAAGAUUUGAUGAGAGGGUGACCAUACAUGAGGGGAGAUUUUCCUCAGUAUCAAAACAUGUUGAAACUCACACACUUCCAAGAUGACGUAUUCUCAGGUCUCCUGCCGUUGCCGUUCUCUGCCGUAUGUGAUGGUGUUCUGUCUUACCAGAGGCUGUGGCCCUGAGAAAGAUCACGUCUACCUGCAGCUGCACCACCUACCUCCAGAGCAGCUGGCCACGCGCCUGCCUGGCAUUUCAGAGACAGCCAUGAUCUUCGCUGGCGUGGACGUCACGAAGGAGCCGAUCCCUGUCCUCCCCACCGUGCAUUAUAACAUGGGCGGCAUUCCCACCAACUACAAGGGGCAGGUGAUGGUGCUGGCUCCUCCCCCACAGCUGGAAAGAAGGCUGGGAUGACGGGGCCCACCUCGCAGUUGUCUCUUUAGAUCUUACAGGAAAAGACAGAUGUUUCCUUCAAGAAAGUACUGUAUUGUUUUCUAGAUUGCACUUUAAAUUUCUAUUACCGGAGGAUGGAGGGGGCUUAAUAAUUUAUUCCUCCUCAGUAAAUUGUCAGAGAUACAUCAUUUGCAGCUUUUUCCAUUUUGUAAUUACUUUCCUAUAUGAUCUUGUGUUAUUUCUAAUGAUCUUACACAUCGAGGGAUCUUUAUAAUUCAUUCCUUUGAGUGGUUUGUGGUUCACACAGAGCUUGUCAGUCACUUAGGCUCCUUGUUGGGCGAGGUGGGUGGAAGCUGUUGCUCUCCCUGCAUAGACGAAGAGGUGAACGGGGUAGAACAGUCUGGAACAUCAGUCUCCCCUGCUGAUGUUUCUCCACCUGCCGUGCUCCUGGGUCUGAGCCGGAGCACAGGUGGUGAGGGCCCCGGGAACAUGGGACACGGGGGACAGUCGCAGAUGCUGACAUUGGAGGUCCUCUGACCUGCUUGUAACAGCAGGUGCUCAGGGGCAGAGGGGAAACUGGGGGAUACCUUCGGAAGCUUCCCUCUGAAGAAGAGUAGCUAUGGUCCUUACUUCCCUCUUAGAUACGGUCUUUACUUCCCUCUCUUUUUUUUUCUUGGAGAUGCAGUCUCACUCUGUUGCUUCGGCUGGAGAGCAGUGGUGCGAUCUCGGCUCACUGCAACCUCUGCCUCCCAGGUUCAAGUGAUUUUUCCGCCUCAGCCUCCCUAGUAGUUGGGAUUACAGGCACCCGCCAUUAUGCCCUGCUAAUUUUUGUAUUUUUAGUAGAGAUGGGGUUUCACCAUGUUAGCCAGACAGGUCUUGAACCCCUGACCUCAGGUGAUCACCCGCCUCAGCCUCCCAAAGUGCUGAGAUUACAGGCGUGAGCCACCACGCCGGGCCUACUUCCCUCUCUCUCUGACCUGCAGCACAGACACCCUGUUGGGGAAGGUGGGCUGGUGGAGGCAUGGGCACCUUGACAUUUCACCUGAAAUCUUCCUUUCCACAGGUCCUGAGGCACGUGAAUGGCCAGGAUCAGAUUGUGCCUGGCCUGUACGCCUGUGGGGAGGCCGCCUGUGCCUCGGUACAUGGUGCCAACCGCCUUGGGGCAAACUCGCUCUUGGACCUGGUUGUCUUUGGUCGGGCAUGUGCCCUGAGCAUCGAAGAGUCAUGCAGGCCUGGAGAUAAAGUCCCUCCAAUUAAACCAAACGCUGGGGAAGAAUCUGUCAUGAAUCUUGACAAAUUGAGAUUUGCUGAUGGAAGCAUAAGAACAUCGGAACUGCGACUCAACAUGCAGAAGUCAAUGCAAAAUCAUGCUGCCGUGUUCCGUGUGGGAAGCGUGUUGCAAGAAGGUUGUGGGAAAAUCAGCAAGCUCUAUGGAGACCUAAAGCACCUGAAGACGUUCGACCGGGGAAUGGUCUGGAACACGGACCUGGUGGAGACCCUGGAGCUGCAGAACCUGAUGCUGUGUGCGCUGCAGACCAUCUACGGAGCAGAGGCGCGGAAGGAGUCACGGGGCGUGCAUGCCAGGGAAGACUACAAGGUGCGGAUUGAUGAGUACGAUUACUCCAAGCCCAUCCAGGGGCAACAGAAGAAGCCCUUUGAGGAGCACUGGAGAAAGCACACCCUGUCGUAUGUGGACGUUGGCACUGGGAAGGUCACUCUGGAAUAUAGACCCGUAAUCGACAAAACUUUGAACGAGGCUGACUGUGCCACCGUCCCGCCAGCCAUUCGCUCCUACUGAUGAGACAAGAUGUGGUGAUGACAGAAUCAGCUUUUGUAAUUAUGUAUAAUAGCUCAUGCAUGUGUCCAUGUCAUAACUGUCUUCAUACGCGUCUGCACUCUGGGGAAGAAGGAGUACAUUGAAGGGAGAUUGGCACCCAGGCUGGGAGCUUGCCAGGAACCCAGUGGCCAGGGAGCGUGGCAGUUACCUUUGUCCCUUGCUUCAUUCUUGUGAGAUGAUAAAACUGGGCACAGCUCUUAAAUAAAAUAUAAAUGAAC